UGUUUGCUGCUGGCCUCCAGAAGA
rnacentral:piRNA from 1 species